CUACCACUGGGCAUAUGCAUUAGGUUCCCCCAUCGGCUGAUGUCGGAGGAGGAGAAGCGUGACCCAGCGCCAACGGUAAGGCAACCCUUUACUUGCCACGGGGGGUGGGGGGGUGGAACACUGUAGUGUUAGGAAUACAAUUUGGUAUUCCUAACACUAUAGUAUUCCAAUCAGUCCUCAGUAGAUUCAGUGUUCACACCCAUUUAUUCCCCCCC